rnacentral:lncRNA from 1 species
GAGAGAGAGAGAGAGAGAGAGAGAGAGAGAGAAGUGGUAGUGAAGGAAUAAUUCAGGUUGUUUGCAAAUUCAGAUAGAGUGAGAAAGGAUUUUUUUUUGGGUGUGUGUGUUCUUUAGAGUUGUGGGGAUGAACGGAUGAGGACUUUGAAAAUGUGACCUAGGCAUAGAGACAGGUGGCCAUGAAGUAAUGGAGCCCUUCUGCCAUUUUCUAGAGAGUUGGGGGCACCGUCCUCAGAAAUAUUUUGGUUCUUUACUAGAGACAGAGAGAGAGAGGUUUAAUAGAAGUAUGCAAGCUAAUUGCUGUAAGUUUAGCAAACUCAUUUUUUUUAUUUCAUUAAUCACAAGAAUAGGGAAAGUGUUUAUGUGCUCGGUCUUCUUGGUGUGAAGUGAGUUUAGAUGCAUUGUGCAGGCUAAGAUGUUAGAUAACCGAUGGUUACCAGGUCCUUGUGCAUCAAUUACUGGCAAUGCGUGCUUUGAAGCCUUUGUUGCAUGGUGGUCGAAAGUUUUGAAAUCCAACCAGAAAGCGAACAGAGAUGAGAGCACAUAUAAUGUGCUCCCCAUGGAGCAAAUUGGAUCCAAUUGAAAAAUAAAUAAUUUAUUUGGGGUUUUAUUAUUAUUAUUUUAUUUUAUCAUUUUGGCAAAGAUUGGAAAGUGUUUGGCCAUAAAUAUUUAUUUUUAUAUUUUCCCUUUUUCUUUUGGAUUAUUUUAAAAAUAUAUCCAGUUAAAAGUUGAUUUUUUAAAAUCUAAUUUUUUUUUUACUUAAUCUUACUCUAAACAUACAUUUCCUUUUUCUAUUGUUUUUUUUAUAAUUUUUUGACCUUUUCUAACACUGCUCCCACCGGAGUGAAGCAUGCGCUCCCUCCCAGGAAACAUCACUUUGAUUCAUGAAGCCAUUUUUUACUUUGGUUUGAUUUCAGGUGCUGGAAGUCAGCUUUAACAACACAGACAAGUUAUAAAAAACUGUUACGCAUUGAUGGCGUUGGUAUAUGUACUUAUCAAAGCAAAUGCUGCUCACUUCGGUCUCCGGGCUGUCUUAGCCAAAUUGUGAUCAGCAAAUGUGAUUGUAUUCAACGAGCUUUUGAAUGGAUAAUUCCAACAGAGCCUCUUCCCGCGGGCCCAAUGAUCUGUUGGGUUCCUUUGCAGACUUCCGGUGGAAGAAUGACAUGAUCGAUCAGUAACGUCGUUUUUGAUAAGUAUCUGUAAAGGCGUAAAGCCAUGACUUCAUACCAGCCAGUGUUUUCAAAAAUGGUUUGGGAGGUUCGAUCAAUUCCUGAAUCGAUUUGGAUUGUCGAUCCAGCCAAAUAGGACUUAUUAUCCAGUGUGAGAAUCGAUCCUUCAUUAAAUAUGUAUAAUGAUUUUAAAUUUAAAAAUAUUAAUAAUAAAUAAAAUAGAUAGGAGCUGAAUGAUUGGGCUAAU